CCUUGCGUAACUGAAAGGAAACAAAUUUUUUGGGCAGAUUGAAAAGAACGACCAUGGGACUCCUCUCCUUCUUUCUCUAGGACGGGACUCCUCUGCUUAUGAUUCAUGUACAAAUCAGCUUCUGCCUCCACGGAUGGCUGCGAGGACGGGAUCGAUUAUCUGCAGGCAGCCGUUCUCACUUCCCAAACCCUCCUCCCGUUCUCAUAUCGUGCGGAAAAGAAAAUCGUCCCUCGCUUCCAUGCUUCAACUGCCUCAGCGGGGGCCCCAAUGCGAGAGCUGGAUGGCCUCCACUACGAGCAUGCCGUCAUGGCCCUCAAGUCAUCCGUCUAUCCUUGCAAUCAUGGCCGGUUCCUUCUUGCCCGGCUGUACAAAGUCUGGUGCCAAUUUGUUGGGCUAGAAGCAUAUGAAUUACUGGAAGUUAGAAUUGGAAAGGUCCCUUUAUGCAUUUGCAUAUAUUACCAAACAGGAGGUUAUGGAUGAUGAGCAGUUGAGGACCGGUGACAAUCUGUUAGUAUUUGAGAACGAUGAUCCAUGGACUAUUUUGUUUGUAAAUCUGUUCCACGUACUAAUGAAAUAUUAUUUUUUUGAAUUGCUGGAAGCUUUAUGAAUGUAUACGUUUUAUAUUUUGAGCAGUGAAAAUACUGUACUUAUAUAGAAAAUAUUUUUUUUCGUUUUCUCUGUAAUAUGCAUGCAUAUUCUGGGAUGUUUUCCAGGUGUCC